AUGAAGCAAAUUGCUCAAGGUCUGGAGGUGGAUGUUUCAAGUCAGAGAAAAAAGAACCGUGGAAGAAAGCCAAAGGACAUUAAUCUAGAUCAAAUACCUACCAUUCCACUUAACAAGCGGUCUACUAUCAGGUCACUUGCUUGGCAACUCGGUUGCAGCCCUACGACACUCCACCGGAAGUUCAUGCUGAAGUUGAUAAAGAGGCAUACAAACUAUUUGAAGCCAGUUUUGAAGGAAAAGAACAAGAAGGAUAGAAUGGAAUUUUGCUUGUCAAUGCUCGAUGAGACAACAACACAAACUGAAAGGCCAAAAUUCAAGACCAUGCACAACAUUAUUCAUAUUGACGAGAAAUGGUUCUAUAUGACCAAGAAAAUCAGGAACUAUUAUCUGCUAUAUGGGGAGGAAGAGCCUACGAGAACUAUACAAAACGGCAGUUGGAAAAGUCGUGUUCUUGGCGGCUAUUGCUAG
rnacentral:rRNA from 1 species